rnacentral:rRNA from 1 species
AUUGAACGCUGGCGGCAGGCCUAACACAUGCAAGUCGAACGAGUGGCGGACGGGUGAGUAAUGUCUGGGAAACUUACUGAUGAAGGGGGAUAACUACUGGAAACGGUAUCUAAUACCGCAUACCAUCGGAUGUGCCCAGAUGGGCUUAGCUAGUAGGUGGGGUAAAGGCUCACCUAGGCGACGAUCCCUAGCUGGUCUGAGAGGAUGAGCAGCCACACGGGAACUGAGACACGGUCCAGACUCCUACGUGAGGCAGCAGGGGGGAAUAUUGCACAAUGGUCGCAAGCCUGAUGCAGCAACGCCGCGUGUAUGAAGAAGGCCUUCGGGUUGUAAAGGACUUUUAGCGGGGAGGCGUUACCCGAAGAAGAAGCACCGGCUAACUCCGUGCCAGCAGCCGCGGUAAUUC